UUAGAAACCCUUAUCCUAGUCGAAUUCCAAGGCAUUAUCUCCUUAAAUUCGUUCACCCUAUGUUUAAGAUAAUCCUUACCUUAUUUUGUAACUAUCACAUAAUUACAAUUCAGCCCCUCUAGUUUAAUUAAUUACACUUGAUCACAAAAUUAAUUCUUAAUUAAUUAUUGACCAAUAUUAAUUAAACAAAUAUGAUUUCUCCUUUAAUAUAUUAUUCUUAUAACAUAUUAAUAAAUCAUAAUAACCUCUCUCUCUAUUUAUUUCUCCAAUCAAGUUGCUUUGGUGAAGGCAACCCAAAAGGACCAUGCACCAUCGGGUCAAGUACAUACCAAAAUAGUUAUGGACUUAGACACUAAUCCAACAGUCUCCCACUUGGAUAAGUCUAAUAACUAUUCUGCGUAUGACUUCAGAUCCUGAUCUGCAAUCGUAGCUUUCCAAAGCCGCUGUCAACUCUGAUCCUAUCAGAUACGCGUGUCCUUAGAUAAGGGAUCAUAUAUUCCUCCAUUCUAGAUAUCAUAUGAGAUAUGAUUUCAAAUCAUUCUCUUUGUACUAUAUCUCGAUUCCCGAUUUAUGACGACUGACUAAUUGAACAAAUCAAAUUAGCCCUAGCCCGGCCGAGCAUUUACGUUUGUCAUCACUAAAUCAUCGAGGGGCCCAAAGAUAUCGCUUUUAUCCUACUUUGGAUAAAAGGAACGGAUAAACUUUGAUACAAUGCUUGCUUGCACUCACGCACCGAAUCACACACAACAAUAUGUUUUAUAACACCAAGUUACUAGUGCGUUUACAUAUUAUCAAUGUGCAACCGAUUUGCAAGAUACAACUCACACAUCUCGGUUUCAAGAAUAUAAGAUGUUAUCGUCUCACCAAUCACUCGUGAUACAAUUCAUGGAGUGAUCCAAGUGAGCGUGGGUUUAAUCCAAUGCUCAAAUCAUAUUCAUAAGCACUCAUGAACGUUGCAGCAAACAUUUGCUUAUGUCUAAUACUCUUUUAGACAAUCCACACACCAAUUCACGACAGUCUUCAUUCAUAUCUACUUCCAACAUAUGAACGACUGUGGCCCGUUCGAAUAAUUCGAUUAUUCUUAAUAAACUCAAUUAUUCUGGAAGUCAAAACAUGCAAAUGUGAAACACAAGAAUAAUACUAAUCCCAUAUGGCCUCAAACCUUUGAGUAUAAAUAAAACACCUUUUAUUUAUCACCAUAUUGAUUACUCAUUAUUUGUCGUUUCGGGUAAUCAACUUCUUACUUGAAUUACAACACUUGUCCCAUGCUCCUAGCAUGCACACAAUGUUUACCUAUGGUUCUUACUUUGUGAAAUAGAUCACAUUGAACACAUUUCCAAUCAUUCUCAUUUCACAACUCCAAAUCCUUUUUCAUAAGUGUAAGAAUAUCAAAUUCUUGCUACUUAUAGAAUAUGCUAGAUUCUAACAUUCUAUGCAACUAUCCUUUCGUAAUGUCACUGCACCAAAGUCACAAAGACUAUUGCCAAUGAUAUUACAAAGUCCUCUAUCGGAGAUUGUUACAAGACAAUUCCAUAGAUGUGAUGUCUCUCACUCAAAGUACAUUCUUUGAACAUCCUUUUGCAUAGAAGUUUCUAAUCUAGUCAUAGAUUUCUCAAUAUUCAAUUCCCAAUAUGGACACACUUCCAUAUGUUCCAUAUGACAACUCAUUCUUAAUAGAAUCUUAUCUAUUCGUAAUGAUGUCGAUAUGGUCCAUCCAAUAUGGAAACAUUUCCAUAUUUUCCAAUACUAUACUUCCAACUACUCACAAGCGACCAAUCCUCGUCGAACUUUGGAUUGUCCUUUGAUAGUUGUUUAAUUAUUUUAGUCAAAACCAAUUCUAGUCCCUUUUCCCUCUAAAUGCGCUCGACAUUUGGAAAAUUUUAGAAUGGUCAAACAUUAAAGCAUUUGCAAUCGAUCCUAUACCCGAAGCGUAUGGGACACGACGCAUAAUGUUUUAUUUGCUAUGUUCUCAAAAUUCGAAUUGUGAAGAGGGAUGCCGUAAUCAUAAUCGAAAUUUUAAGAACACACUUUGUACCUUUGACUAAAUUUUAUUAACAUUUCUCAACCUAAACCUUUAGAUUUGAAAUGAAGCAUAAUAUUCUCUCCCUUAAUUAUAGCAAAACAACUCUUCAACUAUUGCGACUUUGCAAAGUAUGACUCUUGUUUUCUAUAAUUAAUAUUGCUAACCUUGCAAUACUUUCCUUAAUAAUCAUACAAUCAUAACUUUUAUGCUCCCACUAUCUUGAUGAUUAUUAUAAAACAUAACACUUAUGCUCCCACUAGCUUCGACAUGUAUUCAUAAACAUCUUAACUUUCAGAAAAAAAAUGCUUAUUGAAUUUCUUAAGUUCAUGUUUCUAAUACUUAGUGCUUUGAUAAUCUUUUAUCAAGGUUUCUUGAACUUAUACACAUUUGCCUUCGAUAGUUCAUAUGUGUGUCUAAACAAUUAAGACUAAUUGCCAAACCUCACAAUUCAAAUUAUGGAAAGGGAUGCCGUAACCAUAAUUGAAUUCGAGAAUGCAAUUUUACAAUCACUAUCUUCUUAAAAUCUGUCUUAGUGAAAGCAUUUCCUCACAAUCAUUUUCAUGAAGGAGGAAAUCUUAUGACACUUAGAUUUAAACAGUGUAUUUGUUCCUAUCCAUGUGAAUUUGUCAAAACCAAAGUUUACGACAAAUUCAAACUCUUAUGGAUCGAACUUUCUUGAUCUCGAUUUCUUGCCUUUAUGGUAGCACAGCUGCCCACCAUGUCUUCCAAGUAGUUAAGCAGCUCACCCUUUCCUAUCAAUGUACCUUUCAUUGAUUAAGGUGCUUUGCCUUUUAUGCGUUCAAAAUGAGAACUCAUAGAACUCACAUGCAUAAUUAACUCGAUUGGAUUGGCACAGAAUCAAAAUAAUGUCAACACGAUAGGUUGUAAACCUCAACUCGUGUGCUAGUGAUGAUCGAUAAGGUUUAUUUGAUUUGUUCUUGAAACCUUUCAAGACCAUUAAGACUCCCACUGACUCCUUGACAUAUAAGAUUCUCUUGUCAAAAAACAUUUCUUGACAAACAAAUAUUCAAGAGUUAGUGUAGCUUUUAUCAAAACACUUCAUAAAUUGGUCCUAGUUGGUCUUUGUCUUAUCCAAGACAUCACAACUUUCCACAUUUAAUGAAUGUUAUAAACCUUCUUAAUACUUAUCACUCAAUGUCACAAUCUUAACUCUAAGACUUGUUUUGGAACGAAGUAUGAUUGACUUCUUGAUUUAACCAUUUCUUCAAUUCUUGAUUCCUCUUCUUAGACAUACAAUUGUACUAAGACUCACUUAGAGGAUCAAUUGAGAUAUGGUUCUUAAUCAUUAAGACCUAUCAUAAAGCAUAAAAGGUACUCUCCCUUCUUCUUAGAAUGGAGAAACUUUUAUCUUUCUGCCUACUUGAUUCUUCUUAUUCGUUCUGCUAUUGAUUUAAACCUUUUAAAUCAAUUCAGAAUUACACUUAAUCUUAUAAGUAUAAUCAUAUUUACUAAACCUUUAGUAAAUCAUGACGAAUAUCUUUGUUACUCUUAUGGUGGACUUGAUCAACACGCAACUUUGUGUACUCGAUCUCCUAGUCCUUCACUUGACACUUUGUCAAUGAAUUAGUCUAAUUUCCAAAUAUGAAAUUUCUCAUUCAUCGUGCAACCAAGUUGCAUGAUUCCAAGUUUCUGUCCAAUUGAAACUUGGGCGAUGAGAAACUCUCCCUAUUUGGUAAAUUCUCGACUUUCCAUAAAUAACAUAAUAAGAACCAAAUCCAUUAUUGCUAAUAAUAGAAACAUUCAAACAUCAAUUUUUCAUAUACGCCAUUGCAAGGAUAAAUAAAUAAUAUAAAAUCAAAAUUUAUUUUAUUGCGGAAAAAUUUUGUCCUUACAAUGCAAUUCAUUGAAAAACUAUGCUAAUACAUCUUUCUUAGCAAUCUAAUUCUAACUCUAAGUAGUAGCUCAAGAAUCUAAUCUUCGAGAAAUGCGAUCGAAAUCCAUUCCUUCACGGUUAGAUUCUGCUCACUUCUUCCCUUAAGCUUCCUUUCUUUUCUUCGAUCCUACAAAACAUCAAUUGUAAUCUUAUCACAUUAUGUAUUAAGAAUCUAGAAUAGAAGCUUAAAAGAGUUAGUUAAUGGAUUUUACCUAUAUUAGAGCCAUACGUUUCGACUCUCCCAUCUCUUAGAUCUCUUAGGUAAAUGGGGCAGCUUCGUCUCCAAUGCCCUUUCUCUUGGCAAUAAAAGCAAAUUGACUCUUUUGGAACAUGACAUGGAACUACUUCAGACAUUGCCUUUCUCUUAUGAUCAAACUUUUCGAUCAUAGCAUGUCUUUCGUUGCCAUUGUCUAUAUCCAUAGAGGUCUUGAAGGCAGAUUCACCAAUCAACUUUGCUUUUCUAUUGCGCCAAACCAUUGCUGAUUCAGCAGCAAUAAGCAUAUAGGUGAGAUCUAUAAGGGUCACGUCGCGGUUCAUCAUAUAGUACUCUCUUACGAACUCACUAUAUGAGUUAGGAAGUGACUGAAGAACCCAAUCAACAGCCAUUUCCUCACAGACAACGGAUCCCAACAUUCUUAACCUAUCAAUGUGUGACUUCAUCCCUAGGACGUGUGCACACACCGACUUUCCUUCUUUAUGUUUACUUGCCAAAAGGGCUUGAGUGAUCUUGAACUUUUCAAGCCUUUGAACUUGUGGGUUAGGGAGAAUAAUUGGAGGAGGUGGAGGAAGUGAAGCAUGAUUUCUUGUUCCUCGAUCGAAUCGUGGAAUAUCAUCUUCAUGUGGAAAGCUUGUUCCACGGGAUUUGGGAAGACCAUAGUUGUCGAACUUUGACAUCUACAAAACGGGAGAAAACGAAUUCAAGUUAGUUGAUUGAUUGAGUCCUUAGUAAAUCACCCAAAUGAGAUACUAAGGCUAGGACCCAACACAAUAUUCUACAACUCGGGAGAGGGAUGCCGUAACCCAAAUUGCAGAACAUUUGAAGGUAAGUGAAUGACGAUUCACUAAUUUCCACCAUGAAAAACGAAAAAGAAAUUUAAGUUUUAAAUCUAUGAAAACUCCUAGAUCCUUUGAGAUUCAUUGAACAUUUCAAUGGCAUGUUUAAAUCUCGAUAUGCCCCUCUUGUUUGUGACUGGGAUGCCGAGGAUCACAAAGCGGGUGUGAAUAACCAUGCAAACUUACAUGGUGCCCUCACAUGUUACAGUCACCUAUUCGAUGUGCCGGUAAACCACACACGCUCCACCGAACUAUGACAAACAUUGAGUCACCCUUUGCUACCUUUGCUUAGAACCAUUUAGUGUGCCGGUAAACCACACACGCUCCACUAACGUCUUCGCAAGGGCACAAAGUGUAAUUUCAUGGAAUUGCAUCAAUUCACUUUUGCCUAAGUAACUAAGAUUGGGAAUUUUAUGAAAACAUUUAGUUACUUUUAUACUUCAUUAUACUUAUAAUGGAAGGUUUCGUCCUAUCCUACCCGUUCGGCUAACGACCCUCCACUAGUCAAGAGUGCGGUGGGUAAGAGUGGAUACCCAUUCAAUCGCCAUUUUAUAGGCAAUUUCCUUAAACACACCUUAUAGACUAGCUUCGUGAAUGAGGCCUACUAACGGUAAGACUGACUUUUACUCAUACAUAUAUACAAUGUUAGACUUUUAAUGUUAUAUAUAGUAUAGGGUGUAUUUUACACUUUUAAAAUACUAGGUGGUCUAAUUUUAACAAUUAUACCUUUAAUUCAAUUAAAUUGUAAACCUAAACUUUUAUGGAUUUAUUAAACUUCUUUUAAUUAUACACUUUAAUUAAUUAAUAAAACCAUAAGGGUGUGAUUUGAACUUUUUCAAAACUAUACUAGAGUUUUAGAAUUUAACAUUCCUAAUUAAACUUUUAAUCAACUUUUAAAUUCCAAAACUUGAGGGCAAGUUUUGAAACAUUUCAACACAUUAGGGUUUAGAAUUUAAAUAUACAUCAAAAUUUAAACCAUUCAAUCAAAAUUUAAAUUCCAACACUUGAGGGCAAGUUUUGAAACCUUUUUCAAAACAUUAGGGUUUUAACUAUUUAAAUUUUAAAACAACAAAACUUUUGGGUUCAAAUUUAAACUAUAAAACCUAAGGGGAAAAUAUGAAACUUUUCAUAACAACUAGGAUCAAAUAACAAAUAAUCUAAAUUAACAAUUAAUCACAUAAUUAUCCAUAUUUGAUUUAUUUAAAGAUUUCUUGCAAAACAAUUUAUCAAUAUAGUCAAAAUAAUUAAACAAUUAUCACAUAAGGAAACAGUUAUCUUAUUAAUUGAUAAUUAUAUUCAAUUAGAUCAAAAAUAUAGUCAUAUAUAUCAAAAAAUAGGAUUUAUAUUGAUCUAAUAUGAUAAGAUAAUUAUCCAAAAACAAAAACAGUAAGAAAUCACGAAAUACCCUCCAUCUGACGACUUGACUCGUCGAGUCAGGCUUGGACUCGUCGAGUCUGCAUGGACUCGGCGAGUUCAGCUAUGGACUCGGCGAGUCCAGCCUCCAGAAACCAAAAAAUUGAAUUUUUAAAACAUAUCAAGCAUCAAUACAAUAGAAACCAGUCUAGGCUCUGAUACCACUGAUGGGUUUUGGUCAUAAGACAUCCUAUGUGCUCAUACAAACCCUAAUGCUUGGAUCUAGGUUUCUCUAUUGUACAUGCUUUGAAUCCAAGACUAUAAACCCUAAUUCUAGCAUAUGGAAAUCAAUAUUAACAUAUAAUUAGGUUUAAGAUAUUACCUUGAUUGUUAUGUAGCAAUAACAAUCCCAAUUCCUCCUUGAAUUGACUUUGGAAGGCUUAGAGUCACAAGUGUCACUCCUCUAAUGGCUUACAAACACCAAGAGCAAAUGGAGAAGGUAUAAAGAGAGAGGAGAGAGGUAGGAAUUCGUCCUUAGGACUUCUUGGGAAGGCUUAGACGAAUUCAUGAGCCUUAGGGGGUUUAUAUAGGUGUAAAGAUUAGGGUGUUAGUCCUUAUCCUUAUCUAGUUGCUUGCCCACCAAGCAACCAUAAGAUAAGUCUUAGAAACCCUUAUCCUAGUCGAAUUCCAAGGCAUUAUCUCCUUAAAUUCGUUCACCCUAUGUUUAAGAUAAUCCUUACCUUAUUUUGUAACUAUCACAUAAUUACAAUUCAGCCCCUCUAGUUUAAUUAAUUACACUUGAUCACAAAAUUAAUUCUUAAUUAAUUAUUGACCAAUAUUAAUUAAACAAAUAUGAUUUCUCCUUUAAUAUAUUAUUCUUAUAACAUAUUAAUAAAUCAUAAUAACCUCUCUCUCUAUUUAUUUCUCCAAUCAAGUUGUUUUGGUGAAGGCAACCCAAAAGGACCAUGCACCAUCGGGUCAAGUACAUACCAAAAUAGUUAUGGACUUAGACACUAAUCCAACAGUUAUAUCAUACAUACACACACACACACACACAUAUAUAUAUAUAUAUAUGUUUUAGAAAUCACAACAUAUACAAUUUCACCUCAUAUAAUCAAUUUUUACCCCACCCGUCGACCCUUACAACGACACGAUCUAUACUCUCGGAUCUAAAAUUAAAAACCAUAAUAUUGUCAAGAUGUGGAAUUUGAAUUUGAAUCUCAUUUAUUCUUAACAUCCAUAAUCAGUUAUAGCUAUACAUAUUAACCAGAAGAUUAACAAAAUAUAUAUUCUUAAACAAUAUCAUAAAUUAACAACAAACAUUAAUCAUUUUAACAUUCUAUUAAUAUUUACAAGCAUAAAACCCAGAAUAUAUAUCUAGUAAGAUAUAAUGUUGUUAAGUCAAUCGAAUUUGAAACAAGUUAAUUCAGAUUAAUUGCAA
rnacentral:lncRNA from 1 species